rnacentral:rRNA from 1 species
UGGGGAAUCUUGGACAAUGGGCGCAAGCCUGAUCCAGCCAUGCCGCGUGGAUGAUGAAGGCCUUAGGGUUGUAAAAUCCUUUCGCCGAGGACGAUAAUGACGGUACUCGGAGAAGAAGCUCCGGCUAACUUCGUGCCAGCAGCCGCGGUAAUACGAAGGGGGCUAGCGUUGUUCGGAUUUACUGGGCGUAAAGCGCAUGUAGGCGGGCCGUUAAGUUAGGGGUGAAAUCCCGAGGCUCAACCUCGGAACUGCCUCUAAAACUGGCGGCCUGGACCUAAGUAGAGGCAAGUGGAAUUGCGAGUGUAGAGGUGAAAUUCGUAGAUAUUCGCAGGAACACCAGUGGCGAAGGCGACUUGCUGGACUUAUGGUGACGCUGAGAUGCGAAAGCGUGGGGAGCAAACAGGAUUAGAUACCCUGUAGUCCCUGAGCGGGCUGGCAAGGCGCAU